AGAGUUUGAUCAUGGCUCAGAUUGAACGCUGGCGGCAUGCCUUACACAUGCAAGUCGAACGGCAGCGCGGGGCAACCUGGCGGCGAGUGGCGAACGGGUGAGUAAUAUAUCGGAACGUACCCUGGAGUGGGGGAUAACGUAGCGAAAGUUACGCUAAUACCGCAUACGAUCUAAGGAUGAAAGCAGGGGACCGCAAAGCCUUGUGCUCCUGGAGCGGCCGAUAUCUGAUUAGCUAGUUGGUGGGGUAAAGGCCUACCAAGGCAUCGAUCAGUAGCUGGUCUGAGAGGACGACCAGCCACACUGGAACUGAGACACGGUCCAGACUCCUACGGGAGGCAGCAGUGGGGAAUUUUGGACAAUGGGCGAAAGCCUGAUCCAGCAAUGCCGCGUGAGUGAAGAAGGCCUUCGGGUUGUAAGGCUCUUUUGUCAGGGAAGAAACGGUGAGGGCUAAUAUCUCUUGCUAAUGACGGUACCUGAAGAAUAAGCACCGGCUAACUACGUGCCAGCAGCCGCGGUAAUACGUAGGGUGCAAGCGUUAAUCGGAAUUACUGGGCGUAAAGCGUGCGCAGGCGGUUUUGUAAGUCUGUCGUGAAAUCCCCGGGCUCAACCUGGGAAUUGCGAUGGAGACUGCAAGGCUAGAAUCUGGCAGAGGGGGGUAGAAUUCCACGUGUAGCAGUGAAAUGCGUAGAGAUGUGGAGGAACACCGAUGGCGAAGGCAGCCCCCUGGGUCAAGAUUGACGCUCAUGCACGAAAGCGUGGGGAGCAAACAGGAUUAGAUACCCUGGUAGUCCACGCCCUAAACGAUGUCUACUAGUUGUCGGGUUUUAAUUAACUUGGUAACGCAGCUAACGCGUGAAGUAGACCGCCUGGGGAGUACGGUCGCAAGAUUAAAACUCAAAUGAAUUGACGG
rnacentral:rRNA from 1 species